rnacentral:lncRNA from 1 species
CAAACUUGUUACCACAAACCCGAUGAUCUCUUUCUGAAUGAGGAGGGAAAUACUGGACCUGAGUUAUCAGAAGCCAGAAUAUCCUUCUUUCCAGCCAUUCUUAUUUUAUGUAUUUCGAAGAAUAAAUAAAAUUGCAGUUACAUAUUCAUAGACUAUAUCAGACAGGACUAAUUCAACUUUGCCUGGGAUCUCUAUUAUGUCAAAGAUCCUCAACAGCCAUGUGGCAGGAGGACCACUCAGAAGCUCAUGGACAAGCUAGUCUGUAGCAAAGAUGCAGAAAGAAGAUAGACUGUCUCAAAUUGGAAGUCAAGAACUAAUUCCUGAAACUGUCAUCAGACCUUCACACUUUCUGUGGAACACAUGCCUUCAUAUCCUUUCAAUGUAGCUGUGUGCAAACAUAUUUCCUCAUACUGAGUAUAAAUGCACUGUUUUUCUUUAUAUUCAUUCUUUUCUCAUACAUUACACCCUGACUGCAGUUUUCCUUCCAUUCCUUUCCCCUGUACCCCCUAACCCUUAUUUCCCAUUCCCAAGAAGAUCUUUGUGUCUCUCCUUAAGCCCUCCCUGUUAAUCAACCUCUCUGGGUCUGUGCAUUAUAGCAUGAUUAUUGUUUACAGCUAAUACUCACCUAUAGGUGAGUACAUAACAUGUUUGUGUUUUCGAGUCCAGGUUACCUCAUGCAGAAUGAUUUUUUUUUCUAAAUCUAUGCAAAGGAUACCAUCAAUAGGACAAGUCACAGCCUACAGAAUGGGAAAAGUUUUUUUUUCCACCAACUCUACAUGUGACAAAGGACUAAUAUCCAAAAUAUACAAAGUACUAAAGAAACUAG